rnacentral:rRNA from 1 species
AAUAUUGGACAAUGGGGGCAACCCUGAUCCAGCCAUGCCCCGUGUGUGAAGAAGGUCUUCGGAUUGUAAAGCACUUUUAGUUGGGAGGAACGGCUUUAGCCUAAUACCCUGAUGUUUUGACGUUACCAACAGAAUCAGCACCGGCUAACUCUGCGCCAGCCGCCCCGGUAAUACAGCGGGUGCAAUCGUUAAUCGGAAUUUCUGGGCGUAAAGCGCGCGGAGGUGGGUCAGAAAGGUGGGUGUGAAAUCCCCGGGCUUAACCUGGGAACUGCUUUCAUAACUGCUGAGCUAGAGUACGGUAGAGGGUAGUGGAAUUACCUGUGUAGCGGUGAAAUGCGUAGAUAUAGGAAGGAACACCAGUGGCGAAGGCGACUACCUGGACUGAUACUGACACUGAGGUGCGAAAGCGUGGGGAGCAAAC